ACUUGAUUUCAGGCAAGUCAAAAUCCCCUGCCCUCCUAUUUCCCCCUUAAACCCUAACACCUGAGACUCGCGCGUAGAGAGAUCAGGACUUUCUUAUUUCUCCCGUGAAUUCUUCACUGAAUUCCUUCUCUUCCAACUGCAACUAAUGUUUCGUAGUCUUCUUUGUUAUCCACUUCUUGCAAUUACGUUGUUGCAUUUGCCUGCUCUGUCUGGUUACUUGAGUAACUGAUAGCGAAAAUUGAAAACUCGAAAUAAUGUGCAUAUUACCUCUUGAUUGGCUACUCGUAUAUUUUUUUAUUCUUGGCAUUUCCAAAGGGUUCUUGAUUAACAUUAUGUCAUGUAACGAUAAUUUUGCCAUGUCUCUCAAUUUCUUGGCUAGGAAUUUCGGUUGAUUAUCUAGGUUUUGAUUUUGUAUGGUGAAGACAAUUAAAUGGUGUUCUUGUCACUGGCUGUCUGUUUGAUAUGAUGAAUAGCUGAUACAAUUAUAAAAUGAUGCAUGCUGUCGCUUUUUUUGUGGCUGUUGUAUCUUUUAGCGACAGAUUCUAGUCUUCAAUGCGUGGUUAUUAAUUAUAUCCUUUUGAUUUCUGCAGCUGUCGAAAUAGCUUGUGCAUGCGCUAGAAUGGCCAAUAACCCCCAGUUUUCUGGCGGUGGACGGUAUCAUGAUGAUAAAACUCGUAUAAAGGAUGCAAUGAAGCUGGGGAAGAUCACCAUGGUUAUGGCCACAAGGAGGAUAAAAAGAGGGAAAAGGACAAAGAUAGGAAACACCGGAAACGGCAUCAAAGUGCCACUGGUGAUGCAAAUUCUGUCAAGGAUGGGAAGGAGGAGUCUAAAAAAUCACGCAGACAUAGCAGUGACGGUAAAAAAUUGAGAAAGCAUGCAUACACCCCCAAAUCAGAUGGUGAAAGCCAUGAAAGCAGGCAGAAAAGGCACAAGAGAGAUAACCAGGAUGGUUCCCAUAGAAAUGGUGGUUAUGAGGAGCUUGAAGAUGGGGAAAUUCGCAAACAACCUAUGGCAGCAGAGAUUGAUAUCUGAAUUCAGGGAGAUGGAAAGUGGUGACAAAAAGUUGAAGAGUUGGGAGUUAAUUAACUUUUGAAAAUAGCUUAAGCUUAACAUGUGGUAAUCAAUGAUGAGAAAUCAAUCAUGUUUUUUACUAUGUCAUUAACAAGCUCUUCCAAAAUGGUAUCUCCAAUCUCUGACCCAAUUUCCCUCUGUAGCUCAAACCCAUUCCAGUCUUGUUCUGAAUCCAGUAAAUCAAAAACAGUAUCUCCAAUAUCUAACCCAUUAUCCCUUCUCUCUGACUUGUAAUUACUCAAUUGUUCUGAAUUCAGUACAUCUAAAUUCAGCAAUUUUGUCAAGUUUGAUUCAUUACCAGAUUGUUUAUCCCAUGGCCUUGUUUUUUCACCAAUGAUUGAUCCAAGCUCUUCCGACCCCAAGAAUUGCUUGUGAUGACAUUGCUGCUUCAUCUCCCUUCCUUUGGUCUCAACAAUCUCCUUCACAUAGUCGAACAGAAGUUGCUUUGUUUGCUGCAGAACCAUUUUGGAUUUCAAGUACUGUGGAGAAAAAUAAGACUGAACGAGUUCUUGUCUUUCUGUGGCUUCUGCGCAAAUUGGUUUCUCAUUUGGUGAGUAGAAAAGUACUUUCCGAAGAGAAGCUGAUAAAAUGCAGUCUUCUGUCAACCUUUUUGGUAAAUGAACUCCAGUUUUUAAAGGGUUCUCCUCUUCUGCUGUACUGGAGUCCUCUGUAUUACCUGUUAGAACAAGUUAAAGAGUUCAAUGUUAAGAAAAAGUUAAAAGAGGCUGGUAGCAAAAUCAUAAGCUUAUGCUGAGUUUAUAGCAGAUAAAGAUCCUAACUGUUCUGAAAUGGGGAACGUCCAUGAGAAGGUAUUCCUUCUAGCACUGAUGCUGGGCUGAGUUGUCUACUAUCUUCUAUGCCUCGCUGUUGGAGCUUUCUAUCUGCAGCAGUCUGUUAGCUUUGAUUAUGGAGGUUGAGUGGCUGGUAACAAGUGUUUGUUGUUAACAAGCUAUCUUUUUGCGUUGCACACGGCGCUUCUACUUCACUCUUAGAAAUUGAAUUGAACACUGUUGUGCUGCUAGCAGUUGAAAAUAUAUCUGAUUCUGCAACUUGCUGGUUACUUCUGCCCUUCUCAUUGACCUUAAGUUUUCCACCUCUAUGAUCAGAACUAUUGAUUCUUAGCAUCUGCUUUAUGGAAAUGACCUGUUUUAAUACAGCUCUCAGUACCUUCGAACCUUGUGGAUUGACCCUUUUGCUUAUGUUGAGUCCACGACCGACAGAUCGCUUUUGCGACUUCCUGGAAUUCACAUGGCAGAACCUGGAGCUACUUUCUGAAUCCGAGCUCUUUCUUGAAUACCCUCUUUCUAGAAGCCAUUGCAGGUGUGUCUUCAAGUUUCUGGAGGAAGUGGGAUACACUGAGCAUAUCUGUUAGUUUGGGGCCAAUAAAGAGCAGAAAUAGUAGGGAGAACGGACAUUUAGGUCUUGGAUAGUGAGGGACAGAGACAUCUUGUCAUUCAUCUCCAGGCUAUAUGGCUUUAACUCUUGGUGGUACCCAUUUGAGUUCCAGAUCACCCUGUAAUCACAAGGUUUGGUAUCUUCUAUUCAAGUGUUUUAGCCGUGUCAUUUAUUGUCAUUAUUGGCAGCCUUCUGACCUUGUGCAAUCCCACCCUUCCCCUGUGAGAGAUACAAGUCGUUGCUAUGCUUGUAUGGUCCCCCAAAAAAAUUUGUCCUUUUGGAGAGGGUACCCAACACGUUAUGGGACUGCUUGUGUUGCUGUAAUUAUUUUUACUGUGAUUGUUUAGUAGUGUUCUUAGUUAUAUUAGCAACGAAAAGCAUAUUUAUUUGAAAAGCAUCGUUUGACCAA